ACUUGAUGACGAGUGGCGUACGGGUGCGUAACACGUGUGCAACCUACCUUACACCGGAACAUAACGUUGAGAAAUCGGCGCUAAUAUUCCAUAAUAUUUUCGGGAGGCAUCUUUUGGAAAUUAAAGUUUAAAUGGUAUAAGAUGGGCACGCGUUCCAUUAGCUAGUUGGUAGGGUAACGGCUUACCAAGGCUACGAUGGAUAGGGGAACUGAGAGGUUAAUCCCCCACACUGGAACUGAGACACGGCCCAGACUCCUACGGGAGGCAGCAGUGGGGAAUAUUGCUCAAUGGACGAAAGUCUGAAGCAGCGACGCCGCGUGAAGGAUGAAGGUUUUCGGAUUGUAAACUUCUUUGACUUGGGGACGAAAGAAAUGACGGUACCCAAAAAACAAAGCCACGGCUAACUACGUGCCAGCAGCCGC
rnacentral:rRNA from 1 species